rnacentral:rRNA from 1 species
AANGNAAUUCCCCNCGUUGUCCCCGGAAAAGAGGAGUGGCGAACGGGUGAGUAACACGUGGGUAACCUGCCCAUCAGAAGGGGAUAACACUUGGAAACAGGUGCUAAUACCGUAUAACAAUCAAAACCGCAUGGUUUUGAUUUGAAAGGCGCUUUCGGGUGUCGCUGAUGGAUGGACCCGCGGUGCAUUAGCUAGUUGGUGAGGUAACGGCUCACCAAGGCCACGAUGCAUAGCCGACCUGAGAGGGUGAUCGGCCACAUUGGGACUGAGACACGGCCCAAACUCCUACGGGAGGCAGCAGUAGGGAAUCUUCGGCAAUGGAC